rnacentral:ncRNA from 1 species
GAACCACGCUAGGGGUCCUGCCGGCCACGCCGCCGCGCGGGUGAGAAACACCCUCUGAACCUGACCCGGAUAAUACCGGCGUAGGGAAGCGAACCGGCCGCCAC